GGCUCAGGAUGAACGCUGGCGGCGUGCUUAACACAUGCAAGUCGAACGGACUCGUAUUGAAACCUAGUGAUAUAUGAGUUAGUGGCGGACGGGUGAGUAACGCGUGGAUAACCUGCCGUAUACAGGGGGAUAACACUUAGAAAUAGGUGCUAAUACCGCAUAAGCGCACAGCUUUGCAUGAAGCAGUGUGAAAAGCAAAAAGUUAAAACUUUUAGCGGUAUACGAUGGAUCCGCGUCUGAUUAGCCAGUUGGCGGGGUAACGGCCCACCAAAGCGACGAUCAGUAGCCGGCCUGAGAGGGCGGACGGCCACAUUGGGACUGAGACACGGCCCAGACUCCUACGGGAGGCAGCAGUGGGGAAUAUUGCACAAUGGGGGAAACCCUGAUGCAGCGACGCCGCGUGAGUGAAGAAGUAAUUCGUUACGUAAAGCUCUAUCAGCAGGGAAGAAAAUGACGGUACCUGAGUAAGAAGCCCCGGCUAACUACGUGCCAGCAGCCGCGGUAAU
rnacentral:rRNA from 1 species